rnacentral:rRNA from 1 species
GGUUAAGCGACUAAGCGUACACGGUGGAUGCCCUGGCAGUCAGAGGCGAUGAAGGACGUGCUAAUCUGCGAUAAGCGUCGGUAAGGUGAUAUGAACCGUUAUAACCGGCGAUUUCCGAAUGGGGAAACCCAGUGUGUUUCGACACACUAUCAUUAACUGAAUCCAUAGGUUAAUGAGGCGAACCGGGGGAACUGAAACAUCUAAGUACCCCGAGGAAAAGAAAUCAACCGAGAUUCCCCCAGUAGCGGCGAGCGAACGGGGAGCAGCCCAGAGCCUGAAUCAGUGUGUGUGUUAGUGGAAGCGUCUGGAAAGGCGCGCGAUACAGGGUGAUAGCCCCGUACACAAAAAUGCACAUGCUGUGAGCUCGAUGAGUAGGGCGGGACACGUGGUAUCCUGUCUGAAUAUGGGGGGACCAUCCUCCAAGGCUAAAUACUCCUGACUGACCGAUAGUGAACCAGUACCGUGAGGGAAAGGCGAAAAGAACCCCGGCGAGGGGAGUGAAAAAGAACCUGAAACCGUGUACGUACAAGCAGUGGGAGCCUCUUUAUGGGGUGACUGCGUACCUUUUGUAUAAUGGGUCAGCGACUUAUAUUCUGUAGCAAGGUUAACCGAAUAGGGGAGCCGAAGGGAAACCGAGUCUUAACUGGGCGUUAAGUUGCAGGGUAUAGACCCGAAACCCGGUGAUCUAGCCAUGGGCAGGUUGAAGGUUGGGUAACACUAACUGGAGGACCGAACCGACUAAUGUUGAAAAAUUAGCGGAUGACUUGUGGCUGGGGGUGAAAGGCCAAUCAAACCGGGAGAUAGCUGGUUCUCCCCGAAAGCUAUUUAGGUAGCGCCUCGUGAAUUCAUCUCCGGGGGUAGAGCACUGUUUCGGCAAGGGGGUCAUCCCGACUUACCAACCCGAUGCAAACUGCGAAUACCGGAGAAUGUUAUCACGGGAGACACACGGCGGGUGCUAACGUCCGUCGUGAAGAGGGAAACAACCCAGACCGCCAGCUAAGGUCCCAAAGUCAUGGUUAAGUGGGAAACGAUGUGGGAAGGCCCAGACAGCCAGGAUGUUGGCUUAGAAGCAGCCAUCAUUUAAAGAAAGCGUAAUAGCUCACUGGUCGAGUCGGCCUGCGCGGAAGAUGUAACGGGGCUAAACCAUGCACCGAAGCUGCGGCAGCGACGCUUAUGCGUUGUUGGGUAGGGGAGCGUUCUGUAAGCCUGUGAAGGUGUGCUGUGAGGCAUGCUGGAGGUAUCAGAAGUGCGAAUGCUGACAUAAGUAACGAUAAAGCGGGUGAAAAGCCCGCUCGCCGGAAGACCAAGGGUUCCUGUCCAACGUUAAUCGGGGCAGGGUGAGUCGACCCCUAAGGCGAGGCCGAAAGGCGUAGUCGAUGGGAAACAGGUUAAUAUUCCUGUACUUGGUGUUACUGCGAAGGGGGGACGGAGAAGGCUAUGUUGGCCGGGCGACGGUUGUCCCGGUUUAAGCGUGUAGGCUGGUUUUCCAGGCAAAUCCGGAAAAUCAAGGCUGAGGCGUGAUGACGAGGCACUACGGUGCUGAAGCAACAAAUGCCCUGCUUCCAGGAAAAGCCUCUAAGCAUCAGGUAACAUCAAAUCGUACCCCAAACCGACACAGGUGGUCAGGUAGAGAAUACCAAGGCGCUUGAGAGAACUCGGGUGAAGGAACUAGGCAAAAUGGUGCCGUAACUUCGGGAGAAGGCACGCUGAUAUGUAGGUGAAGUCCCUCGCGGAUGGAGCUGAAAUCAGUCGAAGAUACCAGCUGGCUGCAACUGUUUAUUAAAAACACAGCACUGUGCAAACACGAAAGUGGACGUAUACGGUGUGACGCCUGCCCGGUGCCGGAAGGUUAAUUGAUGGGGUCAGCGCAAGCGAAGCUCUUGAUCGAAGCCCCGGUAAACGGCGGCCGUAACUAUAACGGUCCUAAGGUAGCGAAAUUCCUUGUCGGGUAAGUUCCGACCUGCACGAAUGGCGUAAUGAUGGCCAGGCUGUCUCCACCCGAGACUCAGUGAAAUUGAACUCGCUGUGAAGAUGCAGUGUACCCGCGGCAAGACGGAAAGACCCCGUGAACCUUUACUAUAGCUUGACACUGAACAUUGAGCCUUGAUGUGUAGGAUAGGUGGGAGGCUUUGAAGUGUGGACGCCAGUCUGCAUGGAGCCGACCUUGAAAUACCACCCUUUAAUGUUUGAUGUUCUAACGUUGACCCGUAAUCCGGGUUGCGGACAGUGUCUGGUGGGUAGUUUGACUGGGGCGGUCUCCUCCUAAAGAGUAACGGAGGAGCACGAAGGUUGGCUAAUCCUGGUCGGACAUCAGGAGGUUAGUGCAAUGGCAUAAGCCAGCUUGACUGCGAGCGUGACGGCGCGAGCAGGUGCGAAAGCAGGUCAUAGUGAUCCGGUGGUUCUGAAUGGAAGGGCCAUCGCUCAACGGAUAAAAGGUACUCCGGGGAUAACAGGCUGAUACCGCCCAAGAGUUCAUAUCGACGGCGGUGUUUGGCACCUCGAUGUCGGCUCAUCACAUCCUGGGGCUGAAGUAGGUCCCAAGGGUAUGGCUGUUCGCCAUUUAAAGUGGUACGCGAGCUGGGUUUAGAACGUCGUGAGACAGUUCGGUCCCUAUCUGCCGUGGGCGCUGGAGAACUGAGGGGGGCUGCUCCUAGUACGAGAGGACCGGAGUGGACGCAUCACUGGUGUUCGGGUUGUCAUGCCAAUGGCACUGCCCGGUAGCUAAAUGCGGAAGAGAUAAGUGCUGAAAGCAUCUAAGCACGAAACUUGCCCCGAGAUGAGUUCUCCCUGACUCCUUGAGAGUCCUGAAGGAACGUUGAAGACGACGACGUUGAUAGGCCGGGUGUGUAAGCGCAGCGAUGCGUUGAGCUAACCGGUACUAAUGAACCGUGAGGCUUAACCUU